UACGUAGGUGGCAAGCGUUGUCCGGAUUUACUGGGCGUAAAGGGCGUGCAGGCGGUUCGUUAAGUUCAGGGUGAAAGCUCCCGGCUCAACUGGGAGAGGUCUCUGGAUACUGGCGGACUUGAGGGAGGUAGAGGAGAGUGGAAUUCCCGGUGUAGUGGUGAUAUGCGUAGAUAUCGGGAGGAACACCAGUGGCGAAGGCGGCUCUCUGGGCCUUUCCUGACGCUGAGACGCGAAAGCGUGGGGAGUGAACCGG
rnacentral:rRNA from 1 species